AUUGAACGCUGGCGGCAUGCUUUACACAUGCAAGUCGAACGGUAACAGGCCGCAAGGUGCUGACGAGUGGCGAACGGGUGAGUAAUGCAUCGGAACGUGCCCAGUCGUGGGGGAUAACGCAGCGAAAGCUGCGCUAAUACCGCAUACGAUCUAUGGAUGAAAGCGGGGGACCGUAAGGCCUCGCGCGAUUGGAGCGGCCGAUGUCAGAUUAGGUAGUUGGUGGGGUAAAGGCUCACCAAGCCAACGAUCUGUAGCUGGUCUGAGAGGACGACCAGCCACACUGGGACUGAGACACGGCCCAGACUCCUACGGGAGGCAGCAGUGGGGAAUUUUGGACAAUGGGCGCAAGCCUGAUCCAGCAAUGCCGCGUGCGGGAAGAAGGCCUUCGGGUUGUAAACUGCUUUGUACGGAACGAAACGGUCCGGGUUAAUACCCUGGGCUAAUGACGGUACCGUAAGAAUAAGCACCGGCUAACUACGUGCCAGCAGCCGCCGUAACAC
rnacentral:rRNA from 1 species